UACGUAGGGUGCGAGCGUUGUCCGGAAUUACUGGGCGUAAAGAGUUCGUAGGCGGUUUGUCGCGUCGUUCGUGAAAACUUGGGGCUUAACUCCAAGCGUGCGGGCGAUACGGGCAGACUUGAGUACUACAGGGGAGACUGGAAUUCCUGGUGUAGCGGUGAAAUGCGCAGAUAUCAGGAGGAACACCGGUGGCGAAGGCGGGUCUCUGGGUAGUAACUGACGCUGAGGAACGAAAGUGUGGGUAGCGAACAGG
rnacentral:rRNA from 1 species